rnacentral:misc_RNA from 1 species
UUGUGGAGAAGGACGCCGAAGGUGGGGCUGAUGACUGGGGUGAAGUCGUAACAAGGUAGCCGUACCGGAAGGUGCGGCUGGAUCACCUCCUAACAGGGAGACAAUUAAUUGAUUGUGAUGUCUAAGCAAAUUAUUCUUAGGCCGCAAUCCUGUCACCUUAAGGUCGAUCGGUACCUCAGAUUUUUGAAUUAAUUUUAUAAUUAAUCCUUUAAUUUCAGUUCCUAAACUUGUCUAGGUCACACCCAACAAGGUUUCUCCUGGGCCAUUAGCUCAGGUGGUUAGAGCGCACCCCUGAUAAGGGUGAGGUCCCUGGUUCAAGUCCAGGAUGGCCCAUUCGUUGUUGGGGGUAUAGCUCAGUUGGUAGAGCGCCUGCUUUGCAAGCAGGAUGUCAGCGGUUCGAGUCCGCUUACCUCCACUGAAUCCACCCUGGUAACUAAAUUCCGGAGAAAAUUUUGUAGAUGUGACUUAGAAUUGUCUAUUGAAAAGACCCUAGCUUCUUAUCAUCUUUUUAGAGUUGAUAAUAUGCUGGGCUCACAUGGAUUUAUCCAUGAGAAUUCAGUAGAACCUUGAAAACUGCAUAGAUUAGAAAGAAUAAAGCAUCUCAUGGAUGCAUAAUUCUUGUUUGAUUUUUUAGCUUAAAAACUAACUGAUCACAUAUAAGAAUUCAUGUUUAAUUCUUGAGUAAAAGCCGAGCACAAUUGAUUUUGUGAUUGUAUUAAGGUCAAGCUACAA